rnacentral:rRNA from 1 species
UACGAAGGGGGCUAGCGUUGUUCGGAUUUACUGGGCGUAAAGCGUGCGCAGGCGGUUUGCUAAGACAGGUGUGAAAUCCCCGGGCUUAACCUGGGAACUGCGCUUGUUACUGGCAGGCUUGAGUGUGGCAGAGGGGGGUGGAAUUCCACGUGUAGCAGUGAAAUGCGUAGAGAUGUGGAGGAACACCGAUGGCGAAGGCAGCCCCCUGGGCUAACACUGACGCUCAUGCACGAAAGCGUGGGGAGCAAACAGG